ACCGCGUGAGGGAUGAAGGCUCUGGGCUGUAAACUCUUUUAUCAAAGAAGAAGAUCUGACGGUACUUGAUGAAUAAGCCACGGCUAAUUCCAGUGCCAGCAGCCGCGGUAAUAUGGGAGUGGCAAGCGUUAUCCGGGAUUAUUGGGCGUAAAGCGUCCGCAGGCGGUCUUUUAAGUCUGUCGUCAAAGCGUGGAGCUUAACUCCAUUUCUGCGAUGGAAACUGGAAGACUAGAGUGUGGUAGGGGCAGAGGGAAUUCCCGGUGUAGCGGUGAAAUGCGUAGAUAUCGGGAAGAACACCAGUGGCGAAGGCGCUCUGCUGGGCCAUAACUGACGCUCAUGGACGAAAGCCAGGGGAGCGAAAGGGAUUAGAUACCCCUGUAGUCCUGGCCGUAAACGAUGAACACUAGGUGUCGGGGGAAUCGAACCCCUCGGUGUCGUAGCCAACGCGUUAAGUGUUCCGCCUGGGGAGUACGCACGCAAGUGUGAAACUCAAAGGAAUUGACGGGGGCCCGCACAAGCGGUGGAGUAUGUGGUUUAAUUCGAUGCAACGCGAAGAACCUUACCAAGGUUUGACAUCCUGCGGAUCUCUUGGAAACGAGAGAGUGCCUUCGGGAACGCAGU
rnacentral:rRNA from 1 species